UCUCUCUUGUCUGUGGCGGGGGCGGUUAUGCGCUGGUGUCGCGGCCUUACGGGCACUAGUCCGGCCUCCAGCGUCCACGGGCAGGCAUGGCAUAGUGCGGGGCCGCGGCCUGGGCCUCAGCUCUGCGCGGUCGGGCGUACGGCCGUCUGUGGCCCCCCCCGCAAGCUGAUUUGCGUUUCUGCGGCGCCCCGCCCGUGUAACUGCGGCGGCGUCUUUUGAAGCGAGAUGAAUUGAAUAAACAAUCAAAUAUGAGGAUGGAAUUACAUUUGGAAGUGCAAUGAGUUAUCAAGAGCAAUGAAAUGAGCACAAAUAAUGAGGAUUUGAAAUUUGGAAGAAUGUACUUUGAGGUAAAUGGUCAAACCAGGAGCAGGGAGCAGCAUAAAUGCAAGAACAUGUGUAAUCAACACAUUGUGGUGCAUCAAAGCUUUUAAAUUGUAAUUUGGAUUAUUUGCCCUUCACUUGUUUUUGUUAGGAUGUUGAGCAUCCCAGAAUAAUUUAGUGAUUUGUACAAUAAACACUAAUUCUUUAUAUUGCACAAAUGUACUUUCUGAAGAAACUGCAAAGUUGUUUAUAAGGUAUUUAUACAGUUUUUCUUAGCUUCUAGAUUUUUCAAUUAAUAACUGGUUAUUUUUAAUGGAAUCUUACAGUGGAGACCCAUUCAUAUUUCUGUACUGGCUCUUUGAACAAUCUAUUUUCCUGCUUUUUUCAAAUUCUUUUUAAGUUGUCUUUGUAUUUUUUUUUAGAAUAUAUUGAUUUAAAGUUUCCCAUAGCUGGGGUGUUAAAUAUGUACAUUAUAUAGGCAGACAUGGGCCUUUUGCAAGCAAGCAGCAAGACCACUUUUUUGGUUAAAAGCAGCAAAGUGACCAGUUCUCCAAGGGAAUACAGGAUGUGCAGCAGUAGAAGAAAUAGGUAAUACUGCCAUGGAAUCUUGCUAUCUAAGCAAAAGGUGAUCCCUUGAGAUGCAGUGCUCUCUUGGCACUUUUUGUUUAUACUCCAUUCUGAGUAGAAUGCAAGCUCCCAAUCUUCUGACUUGAAGCUAGUGUAUUGUCUACUGUGGACUGAAUUUUGAGUUAUCCCACCUGGUGAAAAUGGCAAGAAACUUAGAAAUAGAAUUGUGCUAUCUCAGACUUCCGAGCAUGAUCAUUUGAACCAGCCACAGAAUUUGUUUUUUAUAUCCUUGGGUAGGCAAACCACACUUAAUUGGGGAGGUUGCAUUCCUAGAAAAUGGUCUGUAUGGCAAUUUUAUGUAAUGCAAAACCAUGUCACCUGUGAGUUGCAAAUAAAAUCCUGCAUUUCAUGAGCAAA